rnacentral:rRNA from 1 species
CCCUUAGAUGUUCUGGGCCGCACGCGCGCUACACUGAUGCAUUCAACGAGCCUAUCCUUGACCGACAGGUCCGGGUAAUCUUUGAAUCUGCAUCGUGACGGGGAUAGAUUAUUGCAAUUAUUAAUCUUCAACGAGGAAUUCCUAGUAAGUGCAAGUCAUCAGCUUGCACUGAUUACGUCCCUGCCCUUUGUACACACCGCCCGUCACUCCUACCGAUUGAGUGAUCCGGUGAAUAACUCAGACUGCAGCACUUGUGGGAAACCACUGGUGUCUGUGGGAAGUUUAGUGAACCUUAUCACUUAGAGGAAGGAGAAGUCAUAACA